ACGCUGUCAUCGUUUCCCAAAGAUGGCCUACCCACUACAUUGACAUCACUUUAUAUAAACAAUUGUAGGAAAUUAGAAUUCCUACCUCAUGAGAUGUUGGCCAAAUUAACAUCGCUUGACUAUUUGUGCGUACAAAAUAGCUGUGAUUCAAUGAGGUCCUUCCCGUUGGGCAUUUUUCCCAAAUUGACGACGCUUCAAAUUCGUGGUUGUGAGAAUCUGGAAUCUUUUUCCUUGAUUGAAGAAGAAGGAGCUGUUGACAAUCUCAGCCAUCUCAAUUCCUUGCGUGUCUAUAACUGUCCAAAAAUGGUGUGUUUUCACGAGGGAGAAUUGCCCACUCCCAACCUGAGUCACUUUGUAGUCAUUGGUUGCGAGAAUUUGAAGUCAUUGCCCGAACGCCUUCACACCCUCACUGCCCUUCGAUCUUUGAAUAUAUGGAAUCUUCCGAAUCUGGAGUCAUUUGCAGAAGAUGGGGGUUUGCCUCCCAACCUCCGAUCUUUUAUCAUUAGGAAUUGUAAGAGACUGAGGGCACUUGACUCAGUGGGUUUGCAAGCACUUGUCUACCUUCAGAUCGAUGGAAGUGACCAUGUCUUGGAGACGUUGCUGCUCCCUACCACUCUUCACACUCUCUGCAUCUCUGAUCUAUCAACUCUGAAAUCUUUGGACGGAAAGGGUCUUGGACACCUCACUUCUCUUCAAACUCUAAAAAUUUACAGCUGUCCAAGUCUUCAAUGCCUGCCAGAAGAGGGUUUGCCGCCAUCUCUUUCUCAUCUGAGUAUCCGCUGUUGUCCUACCCUGGAGGAAAGGUAUAAGAAUAAAACGGGACAAGAUUGGGCAAAGAUAUCUCACAUUCCUUGCAUCGAGAUAGGGGAAGAAGUGAUCAUAUAAUAUGAGCUAUUCCAUAUUUCACGCUCAACCCUCAACUCUCAAAUCAAAGUCAGGUGAGGUAUGUGCCUUCUCUUACUUUAAAAAACUGCUUCUCUUCUUCUAAUUGAAUACAAAAACCAAAACACAUAUUCUCUUUCUCUUCCAAAAACCCAAAUACAUGUUGGACAUUGCCCAAAUUUGUCUCCAAAUUCCUAGUUUAAAUCAAAUUUAAUGCCUAUGGAUAGUUUGUUAAUAGGUUCAUGCCAUGAAUUAAUCUUUGGACUUUCCCAGGUACUGCAGGUUUGUUAUUAAUGUUGUGGCCUGAUAUUCGUCGUAUCAAUACGUUGAGGAGAGAGAUCGAUCAGCAAUUACAAAAUUGUUAGUGAAUUUAGCUUGUUUAUCAUCUCUCUCCUUUUGUUUGUUAAGUUUUGUUGUUCUAGGUUAAACCCUUGUCCCCGCAUUUCACAGCAACUCUGUGUUUUUCCACUCUGUUUAGAUUUCACUAGCAGGAGAGCCCGCGCGAUGCUGCGGGUUUUGAAAUUGUGUAGACAAAAUUAGAUUGUUUAUAUAUACAAUGAGAUUUAAUUUAUAACAUUAUGUUUAACUACAGGAGUGUAAGUUGCAAAAAAGUAUAUAAUAACAUAUUUUACAGGCUACUUGUUAUGGUAAAAUACUAUACUUGUUUGUAUAUACAUUGAGAUGUUUAUAGUAGGAAGUAGGCAUCAAAAUAGCAAAAGUUGGAUAGUUUUGUACAGAAUGUUAUUUAAUUGGGCAAGCUUUGUUUUGCACUUGCUUCAUGAUUUUUCUUCUCUUUCAUGGAAGUCUUGAUCCUGUUAUAAAAAAAAGUGAGAAAAUAGUAAAUGUUAAUAUUGAUGAAUGGGGGAAAUUGAGUUAGGACAAUAAUCAUAAACAUUUAAUUAUGUAUAAACAGGAAUAAUAUAAUUUAUUGAUUUAAUAAGAAAGUUAUAAAUAGUUUUUCAAUCUAGGAAAUACAAAGUUACAAAAUUAAGAGAACUAAUGAGCAAGUUGUAGAUGGUUUUCUAAUUGAAGUAAUACAAAGUAAACAUAUUUUAAAUUUUGUGUUUGUCUAAAAGAAAAGUUGAAGAGAGGCAAAAUAAUUAUGGUUGAAUAUAUGGAGAAAAGGAUGUCAAUAUAAUGUUUAGGUUUUUAUGUAUUAGGAAUAUAUGACUUUUUUGCUGUUAUUUAGAGCAAAAAUUAUUUAAGGGCUUGACAUUUCUGUUAAAAAACGGGUAGAAUCUACCCUGAAAAAUGGACAUUUUGCCAAAAAAUUCACCUGUAAACUAAUUAGUACUGAAUACCGAUUGGCGAAGGCAAGACAAUCAUAGUUGUGGAGUACAUAGUUAGAAAGAUGAAUGUGCAAACGUACAUCUAACCCCAUGAUAUACAUCUAACCCCAUGUGAACAUGAUUUAUUCUACAACAAUGAUUAUCAAUUUUCUAAUUGCUCAUUUUCCUAACCCUAAUCAUCACAAACCCAAAAUUAACUCUAAAAAUUUCAAAUAAGCAUGGUUCUAAACCAAUUUCUAACUUACUUAGCGAAGUCUUUUCUAUAAAUGAUAGUUGUUGAAGAAAAAGGGAAACGAAAAUAAGCUUUUAGUGUAUAAGUACAUUGAAGCAAAACAUGAAGAGAAUCCAAUAUAUAACUUCAAUAUAUAACUUUAAUUUUCUAUAAGUGUUGAUCUAAAUUUACAUCCCUUACCACUCUUCAAUUUAAAAAUAGUUUUAGCUACAACAAACAACUUCAGAGAGAAGAUUUGGCCCUGUUUUAUAAGGCAAAACCUCUCUAACCACAUGACAUACAUCUAACUCCAUGUGAACGUGAUUUAUUCUACAACAAUGAUUAUCAAUUUCCUAAUUGCUCAUUUCCCUAACCCUAAUCAUCACAAACCCAAAAUUAAUUCUAAAAAUUUCAAAUAAGCAUGGUACUAAACCAAUUUCCAACUUACUUAGUGAAGUCUUUUAUAUAAAUGAUAGUUGUUAAGGAAAAACGGAAACAAAAAUAAGCUUUUAGUGUAUAUGCACAGCACAGAAAUUGCAUGUAGCUUUCCGAUUUUUAUCCCAACUUCGUUUCUGUGGAAUCACAAAACUACAUACGCACAGCACAGGGAAGGGAAAAAAAAAAAAAGGCACAUUUAAGAGACACCUAUCUUCUCAUUCUACAUCACAUCCUCUUUUCCUAGCUUUCCAACCUUGCAACCAAAGCAAACAUCUUUCCUGAUAAAGGGUAGGAAAGAAAGUGGUUGUGUGAAUUGGGAUGAGAGAGACAGAGACAGAGACAGAGACAGAGAGACAAAGAGAGAGAGAGAAAAGAGAAAUCAAAGUAUAUAUAUAAAUAGUAAGUAUAGUUUAUAUCAUGCAAAGUUUUGAUGGUUUCGUUCAAAAAAAAAACAGGGAAAAAGUUUUGAUGGGUAAUUCUAGUAAUAAUGUUCUUAUAAUUCUAUAUAUAUAUAGAUAUCAAACUGUACUACCAUAUUCUUCCUAUAUAUACACUUGGUCGUCAACUACCUCUCUCUCUCUCUCUCUCUCUCUCUCUCUCUCUCUCUCUCUCUCUCUCUCUCUGUGACCUGCAUUUAUACAGAACCAAUUAUUCCAUCUUCACUAUACAUUUUCCUCAUCUUCCCAUUCAUAUUUUAUGGCUCUCUUGUUCUUCCUCCUAAUUCUUUUGGUCCCUGCAAGCAAUACUAAUUGGCCACCAUCACCUGGCUACUGGCCAAGUUCUAAAUUCAGGUCUAUGAGCUUUUAUAAAGGAUUUAAAACUCUCUGGGGUCCUCAGCAUCAAAGCUUAGACCAACAUGCAUUAACAAUCUGGGUUUAAUGAGGCCAGAAAAUUUUAAGAACUUAUCUACCAAGCAUACCAAACUGACAAAGCAAACCAUAUCUGUAUUUUAUCAUCAAUUUCAUCAAUUUUAUCACCAACAACAGAUAAAAAAAGGGAAUUUUUUCAAAAAAAAAAAAAAGGAAAAAACAUAAAUAAAAAAAGGGGCACAUUUAAGAGAGACCUAUCUUCUCAUUCUACAUCACAUCCUCUUUUCAUUUUGAAGCGGUCAUGUGUUGUGAGUUUCUUGUUUUAUAAAUUUUCAAAACUGUUGUUUAGAACUGCAAAAUUCUUCAUCAUAUAUCUUGCCUUCUAAUAUACAUUCUGUAUCAGGAAACUGGAAUGAGGCUUGCUCUUUGAGGAAGAGAAAUAAAAGAAAAAGUUGUGGCAAAGGUUCACGGAUGUAGUUGGAUUGUAGUGGGACAGAGAACAAAUUUAUUUGUUGCAGGGGAAAAGUCUCAUCCAAAUGCUAUGAAAUCAUGGCAACUUUAAAGUAUUGGACAGCAAUAAUGAAAGAAGAGGGCUAUGUUGGUGACACAGAUUCUUGCUUGCAUGAAUAAGAGGGAGAAAAGCCCCUAUGGUAUUGACUGUUGCCGCCAAGUGCAUAUUGUUAUUACUAUGCGUACUACAUCCCAAGGCCUCUCUCAGCAGGAUUACAAAGUAAACCAGAAUUACUAUCCCAGCAGUAUUCUGCAACUUUGCUCUGCACUUCCUUAUGUAAUCUCUCUCUCUCUCUCUCUCUCUCUCUCUCUCUAUAAAUAUAUAUAUACACACACACACACACACACACAUAUAUCUAGGCAUGCAUAUUUAUGAGUUCCCCAUUGAGGAGGGAUUCCCUUUUGAGGAUUUUAUAAUUAGAAUUAGACUGCCUUCUUAACCAAUAGUUGGGUUUGUGUGGUAAGGUAUGCUGGGUUUGUUGAUGUGGAUAUUUAUGCCUGGAGGUGCUUUGUUUUACUACUUCGUUGAAGUAGAAACAGACACUGACAAAGAAGCCCUUCAUUCUUUGUCUCAAUAGUGAUUGGUUUCUUUGAUCCUAUUCAUCAUAUCUGGUGGUGAGGUUGCCUAAUCAGCCAAAUGUUGGGUUCAACUACCUCUCUCUCUCUCUCUCUCUCUCUCUCUCUCUCUGUCUCUCUCUCUCUUUCUCUCUCUCUCUGUGACCUGCAUUUAUACAGAGCCAAUUAUUCCAUCUUCACUUUACAUUUUCCUCAUCUUCCCAUUCAUAUUUUAUGGCUUUCUUGCUCUUCCUCCUAAUUCUUUUGGUCCCUGCAAGCAAUACUAAUUGGCCACCAUCACCUGGCUACUGGCCAAGUUCUAAAUUGGCCAGAAAAUUUUAAGAACUUAUCUACCAAGCAUACCAAACUGACAAAGCAAACCAUAUCUGUAUUUUAUCAUCAAUUUUAUCGCCAACAACAGAUAAAAAAAGGGAAUUUUUUCAAAAAAAAAAAAAAAAAAGGAAAAAACAUGUUUAGUCUUUGCUUUCCAAUGUUUUAUCCAAAAACCUGAAAAUCAAAGUAACUAAAUAAAUGAACCCAAUCAUUCCUAAUUUCUAUUUUGUCAAAACCUAAUUAAGCUUCACUUCUUUUUUGCUUGUAUUUUAUCAUCAAUUUCAUCUAUUUUAUCACCAAUAGCAGAUAAAAAAAGGAAAUUUUUUCAAUUAAAAAAAAAAAAAACAUACUCAGUCUUUGCUUUCCAAUGUUUUAUCUAAAAACCUAAAAUCAAAGGAAUCAAAUAAAUAGGGUUUAGGGCUCAAGAACCUGAAAUCAAAAGAACCAAAAAAAUGAACACAACUCUACAUAGCACGAAAAAUCUCCCAGCCAACAAUCAAAUUCAUGAAAUAAAUACCAAAAGAUCUGUUAAAAAAUUGAUGAGAUGCAUACCUGAAAACAAAGGAUGCAACAAAGAUGGAAGCCUGAGUCGAAGCAAGAACGAUGGAAGCCUGAGUCGAAGCAAGAAAGAUGGAAGCCUGAGUCGAAGGUUGUAGAAAAGACGAAAUCUCCCGAUCCCAAAUCUGUGACACGAAGACUGAAAGCACGGCUGGAUUUGCAGCUCACCUCCCAAACAAAAAUCGACGGCCUUCAACGCAUCUCCAGCAACGAACACAACUCUUCCAUGGCUGCCCCCCAACCAGCUGGUUGGAAACGAACGGGAGAAAAUGGUUUCUCUCAGCGGACGAAACCAUCUCAACGAAGGGGGAGGGGCAAAAACGGGAACAAAAGAAACUGUUUAGUCAAGGGCAGUUUCGUCAUUUAACUGUGCUGCAGGAAAAAAAACGAAAACAGCAGAAAAAUGAGGGGCAUUUCCGUCAUUACACUGUGCUUAGCUACAGUGUUUAGUUGCAUUGGGUUUUAGUAUAUAUAUAAUUUAUGUUGUGAUUCGACUGCUGCUGUAUUUUAGAUUUAUAGGAACAGACCAAACAUGUUGAUUCUAUCACCAAAAUUAUAAAGUAUACUUCCAUUACAAUUAAUUUGUUGAUUCUAAUUUGGACUUGUAGGAACAGACCAAACAUGUUCAUACGUGGCAUUGCUCAAGUCAUCAUCAUUCGGGACAGAGAAUAAGCCUUCAAAUGUCUGCUGAGUCAAUGAACCUUUCUAGAUAUCUCAAGUGUAAUGGAAAUUGAUGAGUUACAAAGGAUUUGUAAACAUUUUCUACUGGAGGCUAGAAAUGCUUCAAAUAAAUGACUCUGUUGCAAUUAUUUUGUAGGAUCAAAGACUCUGCAAAGAGGUAAGAAAGUCAUCAUCAAGUAACUUCGCUCUUCAUACUUUUUAUUAGGGGUGGGCAUUGGAACCGCAAAACCGCAAAACCGAACCAACCCAAUCCGAAAAAAACCGAAAAAAACCGUGUUGACCGAAAAAGUCAAAAACCGAGACAAAUCCAAACCGAACCGGUUCAGACCGGUUCCGGUUCCGAUUUUCCACCUUAAGGAACCGGUCCAAUCCGAACCGGUCCAAUAUAAUUAAUUUUUAUAUUAUAUUUAUAUUUAUAUUUAAAAUAUCAAAUUUUGUAGGCCCAAACCCAACUAUUUCAUUAUACCAACAAAAAGCCCAAAUCUCCCAAGUCCAUUGCCCAAGUCCAACAAGCCAUAUUUUAAUAUCCUAAUCACAUCAAAUCUCACUUCACUCUCUCUCUCUGACGCACUCUCUCUUUUCCUCUCAGAUUUUUUUUACUCUCUUUUUCUUUCUUUCUUCUCUCUUCCGCCUCUUUUCCUCUAGGUUCUUUAACUUCUUUUUACUUCUUUCUUUCUUCACUCUUCUGCCUCUUUUCCUCAGUUUUUUCUUCUUCUUUCUCUCUUAUUCUUUCUCCUCUCAAUUCGUCUCCAUUUUUUUUCCCUCUCUUUCUCUGAUUUUCUGUUACUCUGAUUUUUUUCUUCUUGGUUUUAUGUUUCUCUCUCUCCCUCUAUAUCUCUUUCUUUGCAACUCUGUUUUUCAAUUUCUCCUUUUUUUUCUCUCUUCAUUUUUUGUUUCUCUGUACAUAUAUGUGUUCAUCUUGUAGAUCUGGGUGAAAUUCUUGUAGAUCUAGGUGAAGUUCUUGGAGAUCUGCGUUAAGUUCUUGUAGAUCUAGGUAAAGAGCCAAUUCAAAGCAGGUCAGCGUCUCUUAUCUCCCCAAUCCCUUGUGAAGAUAUGUAUUUUUUUUGUUGUCAACAAUCCAUUUUGGUGUUUUUAUAUGGUAUUGAUAUUUUCUAUGAUUUUGGGCUGAUUUGAGGUCUGAUUCUUUUUUUUUCUUUCAAUUUUUUCCUGUUGUGUUUUGAUAGACAUGUUCUCUAUUCCUGAUAUCAUUCCUCAGUGGCAAAAUCUUUGAGCGUUGUUGUAAAUUUUAGACGGGAAAGAAGCUCAUUCAUAAUUCAAAAAAAGAAAAUAAAGUUACAACAACUGACAAUUUGUUGCUCUUUGAAAUAGGUACUGAAGUAGCAUGGAUAAAAAGAAAGACUGAAGAUGUUGCAGAAGAUUGAAUAUGUUCUAUUUCUGUAAUUUGUUUGUAAUUAAAUUUGUUUAUUUUGUUUUGUUUUUAGGUUGUAAGUUUUAUUUUAAUGUUUGAUAUUUGUUGUUUUGUCAAAAAAUUGUAUUAAUGCUUGAUGGAUUCAUUCAAUUUGCAGUGCGUGGAUGUGAAUUGGGCCAAUCGGUAAUAAUUAGGCCCAAAAGGUUUUAAAUAUCAAUUGGGCUGAAACUUACAAAAAAAUUUAAGAACAAAAAAAAAAUCAAUUAAGCUGUGUGUCGGCCCAAACCGUAAAAACCGGAACCGAACCGGAUUCAAAUGGGUUCGGGUUGGUCCGGUUUUCUCAAGCAUUUUAGUAAAAAUCCGAACCGGACCGGACCGGUGAACAGUACCGGUUCCGGUUUUAAAUUGAUGCAAAAACCGGUCCAAACCGGACCGUGCCCACCCCUAUUUUUUAUUUUUAUUUUUAAAUAUCAGUAAUAACUGGGAAAGCUUGCAUCUCCUUAAAUUGCUCAUUCUUACAUCUUUUAUAGUUUGUUGAUCUUGGGCAAGUGGAGAGAGAGGCGUCAAGUGAUACGCAACAACCAUUUUCUGUGAGCUGAUUUGAUAAAGAGAAAUGGUAUGCUUUCUUGUCUUAAGCGGUGUGUUCUGCAAUUAUUUGAAACAAAGGAUGCCGCACUUCAAGUUCGAGAAAAUCAGGUAUUUUAGUAUUUUAUUCUUGAGAAAUUUGAUUUAUGUAGAAACUUGAACAUGUAAAUGAGAGAAAAAAAAAUAAAUAUAUAUAUAUAUUAUAUAUUGUAUAUGCUGUUAAUGAGUUAAUAUGGUGCUUGCUCCUAGUUGGAAAUUUAUGUAGUCAUCUACCUAUGAUCAAAUAAAGAUGAAAAAUAAAAUAAAAUUGAGAGCAUCUUCCUCUCCCCUGCUUUGCUCAUCCCUUGUUCUUCCACUUCAGCCCCACUAUUACACCAUUUUUUUCAGCCACAAUUAUAAUAGCUCCAUGAGCAUUAAGUCCCUUUCAAAUUCUGCUGACAUUCAAAAUUGGAAUCUGCUGGUGAUAUAUGAUAGCGUUAACAUAUUGUACCAUUUUGGCCAGUGUACGCAAUAUUAUUGCAUCCAACUUUGCAUAUUAACAUCAGUGGCCACAGUUACACGAUUUGAGUGCACAGAAAGGUUUCAAAAGUUGUCCCACAGAGAACAGUCGUUCAAAGUGAGAGAGUUUUGAAAGCUUAAUUACAAGUUCAUGUUGUUUACAACCUCAAAAAGCUUUCAUACUUGCUUACAAACCUGUAUUUCCAAGUUCUGCAAACCUUGGAAUAUCACUUCAUCCAAAUCCCCUUCCAAAGCAGGAAAAAAUGGCAGCAGCUUUGAUUGGAGAGGCUCUCAUCUCUGCUUCUAUCGAGGUGUUGUGUGACAGAGUUACUUCAGCCGAGUUCAUAGACUUAUUUCAGCAGAAGAAACUUGAUGAAACACUCCUCAUGAACCUGAAGACGACACUGUUGAUUUUGUUUGCGGCGCUCAAUGAUGCAGAGGAGAAGCAAAUUGUGAACCCUGCUGUGAUAGAGUGGCUUAACAGCUCAAGCAUGCUGUCUUUGAUGCAGAGGACUUACUUGAUGAGAUUGACACUGAAGCUUUGCGAUGCAAGCUGGAAGGUGAGGAUCAAACCCACAAUAAUUAACCAACAAGGAUCUUUUUGAUUGUUUGAAAGGAGGGUCUUUGAUGAUUUGAAAGGAGAGGGUUGCUUCAUUUCUGUUGGAUGCUUAAUUAAAUCUUAUCUGGACUUGAACAAGGAUUAGGUUAGCUGUAUAAUUCGUGGUAAACACCUUUUUCUAAGGUUCAUUUAGACUCCUAUUACGAUUAAUUUGUUGUUUCUAAUUUGGACUUGUAGGAACAGACCAAAUAUGUUCACACGUGGCAUCGUUCAAGUCAUCAUCAUUUCAGACAAAAUCAGCCUUCAAGUGUCUGCUGACUCAAUGAACCUUUCUAGAUAUAUCAAGUGCAAUGGAAAUUCAAGAGUUACAUAGAGAUUUGUAAACAUUUUGAAGAUUGCAACACCUGCAAGUGAGAUAGGUGGUGACGAAAUCAGAGCUGAUCUUGAAGCCUCUGAUGCCCCUGUCGUUGCAAGUUGCACCUGAGAACAUGGUUUUUUUUUGGGUAAAAAACCAGCAACAUGUUCGGGGCUGGCAAUUCAAUCCCUGAUGAACUUGAGAAGCAAAGCUCCAGUAAGGAAAUUGGUCGAGGUCACGACAGGGAUAAUUGAUGGUGAAAUGGAUGCUAUUUCUUAUUGCAGCCUGUUCUCAAAGUUCUUGUUGGCAAAAGCAAGAGAUGGAGUAUUUUGAUUGGGAGGAGAGAUAAUGACAUGUGUUGACAAUUCUAGAACAGCCCAUCUGAGUUCUUUUGUCAGGCUGCAUCAUUUAAUCCCAGCAAAAAUCCAGUUUUUGCUAAACAAUCAAAUUGUACACAUUUUUUCUUUUCGAGGAAUUUAACAUUACACAUUUUUUCAUUUUUUCAUCAAACAGUUUUCUAAUGCAUUUGUUGUCCCAAGUUACAAUGAGGAAUUUGGAUUGAGUUUCUUGUGUUAAUAACAUUAUACUUUCAUGGAAUGGUUUAUCUUCUUUUUCUGGACAAAAAUAUUUAGAUUAAUUUCUUGGAAUAAUUUUUUAAUAAUUUUUUAAUUGCAGUAGCGAAAAAAGGAAAAUUGUAUUUUUCAAAACCAAUCUUAAGUCCAGUUUCCUCUUCUUGGUCGUCACACUUGGAAAUUGCUAACCAUAUAUAACUUGGGGUAACAAUCUUAGUCCGAAUGUGUACGAUCUUAGUCCGAUCAAUGGCUACGCGUAUUGGCUCGGCCUUGGGGUCUACCAUUCCAGUGUACAAGCUUCCUGGGUCUUGGGGCAAUUCCUUCAAAUUGUACACAUGUUUUCUUUGAGAAGCAAGGCUCUAGUAAGGAAAUUGGUUAUGUAACAAAUUUUGGUCCCUUUGGAUGGAAUGAUUUACAAUGAGGAAUUUUAUUAUUAUUAUUUUGUUUUUGUUGUUAGUGUAAUGAAAAUGAUCUAGGUUCAUACACUGGGUAUAGCUCUAAUUUGGCCAAUUUCAUUAUUUUAGUUUCUUCAUAUUUUCAAUUAUUAUAAUUUGGUGCGUUGUUUUUUAAAAACAUUCAUGAGAAUCUCCAUUUUUUAGGUGUUUAAGUUAUUCAUCCACAACGGUUUUAUAAUACCGUCAUCUUUUCAAACACAACGAUGAUUUUUUAAUCUAUCGUCGUUGUUUUCUGAUCGUCUUUUUCACUUUUUGUAGUAGUGUCAAUAAGUAAGAUGAAAUAAUACAUUCACAAUCUGUUUAAAUUUUAAAUUAAAAAAAACACAAGAAAAUUUUAAAUAAGUAAGUAAUUUUAAAUAUAUAUUUCCAUUGUUUUGGUUUUCUUUUCAUAUUAGUUUUCUACUAGCUGCUAAUUUCAUUUAAAUUGUUUUUCUUACUUCAUUUAACUUUUAAGCAUGCAGAUGCAAUCAUGACUUCUUCUUUUUUUCAAUAGACUGAUUCUCUUCCCACAUAUAUAAUGCUCUCUAAGUAUUCGUAAUAUGAGUAGGAAUUUAUUUUCAUUUCACAAGAAUUGUCCAUCAAAUUCUGAUAGGUUUGUCGAUAGCACAAGCAUGCACAUAUAGACACUACAAGAACUUUGUUUCUUCAUUUUGUUUCCUAAAGAUUUGUUGGCUUCGUGCAGAUGAAUAACAAGUCUCUCUGUCCUCUAUUUCUUCUUUUUCUUUUUUAACAAUUCAUAUUCUACUUUCUGUUUUCACCCAGUAAAAAUUGAUUUUAGACAUGGGCUUCUAAAUUAUGUGCGGAUAAUGGUUGCAUUUAUAGAAUAUCCAUGGGCUUCUAGUCACCGUGGUUGUUGAUUCAGCAUGUCAUAUUACUCUUGGACUAGCUGUUGACACUACUACAUUUUACACUUUGCGCGACGAAGAACAAAACGUCGCGCAAAGUCGCAUUUAGUCGCCCCAAUUUCAGCGCGACAAAAACGUCGUCGCGCAUAUUCCGUCGCGCGAAGAUCGUGAAGAAAGCCUUUGCACGACGAGGUACAACCCUUCGUCGCGCAAAAGUGUGCGACGGGUAAACCAUCGUUGCACCAACGGUGUGGAGACGAAACAACCCUUCGUCGCAAAAAUAUUUGCGCGACGAUAAAUUAUGCGGCGCACGUAUAUUUGCGAGACGACGGGAAUUGCGCGACAAAACAUUAUUCGUCGCGCAAAAUAUGUAUGGGAGACGUAUAUGUUCGUCGCAGAACAAUUCGCGCGAUGAGAAAGUUUUCGUCGCACAUAUAAUUGCGCGACGAAAAAUUAUGUCGUCGGCCAAAUAUUUUGCGCGACGAAACAUUUCGUCGCGCAAAACGUGUUAUGUGUUCGUCGCGCAUGAAUUAAAAGUGAUAAAAAAAUAUUUGAUUUUUUUUUGUUACAUGUUGGUUUGCGCGACGAAAGAUUUUCCGUCGCGCAAAAAUAAUAUUACAAUUUUUUUUUUAUUUAUAUUUUUUAUUUGAUAUAAAAUUGGUUUCUUUUUAUUGAUUAAACAAUGAAAUUGCAAUAAAAAUAAAUUAGAAUAAAAUUUUGUUAUAAAAUAAAAUAAAAUAAAUGUAUUACAAAUAAAAUAAAUACACUAAUCAAAUAAUGAAUCAAAAUCAACCGAGUCGUCGCCAGUAUGCGGCUCGGAGGGCGGGGCGUUCACCGGGGCAGUGGUCUGGUGGGGAUGCCCGGGAUGGACGGGCUCAGAGGUCGGCGCAUCAAAAUGCGGGACUGGAAUGCCGGACUGUGCGAGGGACUGCAGAAUGACCGACAUCUGGCUCUGAAGAGUGGCCACCUGUGCUGUCAAAGCAGUGACCUGACUGUUUGACUGCGCCGAUGAACGAGGUCGAGGUUCCCUCCGCCGGGCAUUCCCCAUCCCUCGACAAUAUGUCCCCGGCCUCCUCCCGAGAGUCUGAUCCAACGUCUCCGUCAAUAUCUGAAAUCCAGCAUCCUGUGGAGGAGCCACAGACUCGAUCGGAGUCUCGGGAGGAAGCUGGGAGGCGGACUCCUGAAGAACAAGCUGGCUCCUCUCCACCAUCGUCGUCUGUUGAACAUAACAUAAAAUAUAAAUUAAAACAUGCAUAUAAAUUGAAUGCGUAACAUAAGAAUUAAAAUUAAAUAAUACUUACAUGAAGGGACUCGGCCAACUCAUUCCCGGGUCGAACAUAAACGUCACCAAAGACGUCGAUCUCUGGGAACUUGGACCCCUCCUAAAUUGAACAAGAGAAGAAAAAUAUUAGUAUGAAAAAAAUAAAUUAAUAAAAAUGACAUUAAAAAUGAAAUAAAAAUUUUGUGAUUAUUACCCGACGCCGUGCAUCCAUCCUAUAAGAAAAGGGUCUGGAGCCGGAAUGGUGGAGAAGGGUCUUCUUCUUCCUAUUACCCUUAUUCACUUGGGCUUUAUUCUGUUAUACAAAAAAUGAAACGUAUUAGUUAAAAUAUAAAAAAUUAAAUAAUAAUGAAAUAAAAAAAUAAAAUAAACAUUAAUAAGUAAUAAGUAAUAAUUAAACAAAUAUAAUUAAAAAAAUACCGCAAAUUCGGGCGCUUGAAAAUGAGCGCAGAGCCACUCCCAACUAUCCUCCCGCCCCUCAAGCUCCUUCGGGCAACCCUCCUGAAGAGCGACUUGCGGAUCAUCAUAGGCCUGAAAAUGGUGGUGCAAGUCGCUCUUCCACUGCUUGUACCUCUCAGCGAAGAGUCGGUUGACGUACGUCAACGACUCUUCGUCGAGAUCCUCCAAGUUAUAGUUCGUCUGCAAUCAAUUAAUUAGAUACGUUAAGUAAUAGAAAUAUACACAAUUUUAAAGAAAAAUAAUGAAAAUGUAAGGUACAUACCGACAACUGGCCGUGAAUCUCCGCCUGGAUCUCGUCAGGCAUGACCCUCCAAGACUUCCAUUGCAUCGGGCAAUGGGUCCGCACGACGUGGCCAAUGUCGUGGGCCAAGGAGCUAUGCAACUUCGCCGUCGGUGCAGCACGAUGGCGCUCGUCGUAUCCGAUGCUGAUACGACUGUUGGUCACCCGGGUGACCUUCGCCGUCUUCAGCUGACGACACGGUCCUCGGGUGUUCCUCUUCGCUGCAAAGAAAUAAGGUAUUAAUGUUAAAUAAAAAAACAUUGUCAAAUUUCAAUAUAAAAUUAACAAUACAAAAGUGUAGUUAUACCUGGCUGUGAUCCCGAGGCACCAGUACCGUCGGUCGAUGUCGUGUCGAUGGUGUCGGUGGGCCGGUGCCGCCGCCUAGCACUAGCUGGUUGCGCCACGGAUGACGCAGAUGACACAGGCGCCUGGGGCGCCCCGGGACCAACCACCACGUGGUCCAACAAAGCAGGAGCAGUGGCAGCAGAUGCCGACUGAGCCAGGGGAUCCGAACUCGGUGCAGUCGUCAUCGACCUACCACGUCUAAUCAAGUCUGACAUCUGCACAUAUAAUUUCAUUCAGAAUGUAAACUAAUUAAUUAAAAGCAUAGCCUGACCUAGGGUUUGGAAUUUCGGAGUAUCCGGGACUCCGAUCAACGAUCGGUCGAAUCCUAAACGAUCCUAGAAACACAAAGGUACAACUACGCGAGUUUCAGUUCGAUCCAACGGUCCGAACAUAUCAAACCUGGAAAUCGCACAAUAGGCGAAAUUCGAUCAAGACUCAAACGGUAACCAAAUUCAAAUCCGAGCAAACCUACGCGCUCGUGACAAACAGGGGAUCGCUCUGGGACACAAUGCCCCACUGCCACAGCAUCCCACGCGCCGGCAGCGCGUGGGUGUCCAAAGCGAUAACAUUCGCCGGAAAAUUCUAAAAACUAACGGCCAAGGUUCCUACCCUAGGUUGAAAACAAUAUUUGGCGCCACUUUUGUUCUCGGACCUACCCCGAAAAAUGGCCGGAAGUGGCCGGAUUUGAAAUUGCCAAACCGGCCAAAACCUAGGGUUUUAAUUCCUAUUUCCUAUACCCAUCAGCUAGAGCACAAAAAAUAGUCGAGAAAUCAUACCUCAGGCGUCGGAAAUGGUGGCCGGAGGAGAGAGAAAACGGCCGGCGAGGAAUCGGUGAAAAACCGACGAUGUGCGACGGCAGGCUCGACGGCGAAGGCAGGGGAGGCUAUGGCAGGAGCGGCGGUGGCUGAGGUGACGGCGGAGAGAGAGGGCUGAGGUGACGGCGGAGAGAGAGGCAAACGGAGGAAAAAACCAGAAAUGGGGAAGAAGGAGGCAUCGCGACGUUUCUGCAAAUUUUUACGACUUUGCGCGACGAAUCACAUCAUUCGUCGCGCAAAAUGCUAUUAAUGAAUCUUGCGCGACGCUAUAUCCGUCGCGCAAGAUCUGUCAGAACGCCAAAUUCUGAAAGUGGAUUAGGGUCUGUAAGUUUUGCGCGACGAAAUAGACAUACUUCGUCGCGCAAAAGGCUGUCUUUCCGCCAAAAUUUUGGGAUUUAGGGUUUAGCGGGAGGCUGAAACUGAAGGGUUUGCGCUUUUGCGCGACGAAGACGGUAAACGUCGCGCAAUGGUAACCUUGCGCGACGGAACGUAUUAUAUUCGUCGCGCAAAAGGCUAUCUUUCCGCCCAAAUUUUGGGAUUCAGGGUUUAGCGGGAGGCUGAAGGGUUUGCGCUUUUGCGCGACGAAGACACUAAACGUCGCACAAAAGGCUGUCUGCUGAAAUGAAUGGUUUCUGCUUUUGCGCGACGAAGACAAUAAACGUCGCGCAAAACGUUGUCGUUCCGCCAACAAUUUGGGGUUUAGGGUUUAGUGUGAAAACUGGCGCCCAGAUUGCGCGACGAAGAGUACAUAUUUCCUUCGCGCAAUCUAUUUCACUUUCACUUUGCGCGACGGAUAUGUUGGUUCGUCGCGCAAUCUUCAAGAUUUUCAUUGAAAUUUUCACUAAGUGUUCAAAGGGGAUGGAGGUGUGAAAACUGGCGCCCAGAUUGCGCGACGAAGAGUACAUAUUUCCGUCGCACAAUCUAAUUCACUUUCACUUUGCGCGACGGUUAAAUUGUUCGUCGCGCAAAAUGUAGACCCUAAACCCCCUUGUAAACCCUAAACCCUGAACCCUAAGCCAUAAACCCUAAACCCUAAAAUAGUUUCAAUGAUCCAACCGGCAAACUUAUUGUUUGAAACUUGGAGAUCAUAUACGCCAAAAAUCAAGAAGACCAAACAUUCAGAUAUCAGGGAACGGGACUAAAUAUUUCGACGGUUAUAAAUGAAAAGUCAUGAUUUAACGGUUAUUGUAACUCCGAUUUUGAUCAAUUUUGACAGCAGCAUUUGUUGACCCUAUAUGAAUACAAUGACUGAAUUUGAUCUUCAAUUUCAGAUUUUUACACUAGGGGAUACCACAUAAACGUGAAGUUACAUUUGCACAAAUGUAUAAACAAAUUUUAGGGUUUUUGGUGAAUAUAUGAUUUUGAUAGCACAUGCAGUCUACGAAACAAGUUUCAGUCAUCCAGCCGUCAAACUUGUUUUUUUAGACUUCGAGAUCAUAGACAGCAAAAAUCGGACAAAAAAAACAUUCAGAGAUUAAGCAACGGGGUAAAACUUUUCGACGGUUCUAAAUAAAAAGUGAUGAUUGAACGGUUAAUUUAACUCCGAUGUUGAUGAUUUUUUGCAGCUACAGUCCUACACUCCAUAUGAAUACAAUGAACUACUUCGAUCGCCAAUUUUAAAUAUAUAUGUGUGUAUAUAUUAUACUAUAACGUUACCUAAUAUAUAUUUGCGCGACGAAAGUUUGCUUAUCGUCGCGCAAAAAUGCCAUACGCGACGCAUGUAUAUAUGCGUCGCGGAAACUAUGCGCGACCAGUUGUAUUCGUUGCGCAAACAUUACGCGACGCUUAUGUAUGCGUCGCGUAUGGUAUGUUUGCGCGACGAUAUGGAGCCCUUCGUCGCGCAUGGAUUUGGCGCCAUAAAUCCUCAUUGAUUUCAAAUUGUGUAUGCUUUGUAUUUUUUAGAAAGGUUUUGUAUUCAUCAUUUUUUAUGCUUUGUAUUUUGUGGAAAGGCUUUGAAAUAUUCAUUUCUUUUGUUAUUUUUAUUGAAGCUUUAACUUGUUCUGUUCCGCAGAAAAUUCCAAUGAAGUUUGUGAUGAAAUAUGGAGAAUGAAUACACAACUACAUAUGGACAACUACACAUAUUCAAAGAUUUGUAUUACACAAAAUUAAUACACUAACAUAAUAAAUUUACAAAUAAAUUCAUUAUUCAUCAUCUGAACUAUAAUAACUUUCGUUAUCGUCGCUAGCUUUAACUUGUUCUGUUCCGCAGAAAAUUCCAAUGAAGUUUGUGAUGAAAUCUGGAGAAUGAAUACACAACUACAUAUAGACAACUACACAUAUUCAAAGAUUUGUAUUACACAAAAUUAAUACACUACAUAAUAAAUUACAAAUAAAUUCAUUAUUCAUCAUCUGAACUAUAAUAACUUUCGUAUCGUCGCUAUCAUCACUCUCGGUCUCCCAAUCUUCUUCCUCCUCCUCCUCUAUAACUGCAUCAUCGGCGUUGCUAGGGCCCACUGCAACAUCGUAUCGGGGAAGAUCACCGAGGUCAAUUGUAAUUGACUGAAUCGGUAUUUCGACUGAAGACACUCCUUCUAUUUGAAACGGUUCUUGUAUAACAUUUGUAUCUCGAAGUGUUUCCGCAUCAUUUUCCAUUGAAGAUUCUAAACGAUGGUCAGCCACAUUGUCGACGUCGUUGUCACUUGGGUCUAGUUCUGGUAUAUUAUACACGUUCCUAUGAUCCAUCUUCUGCACAACUUUCCACCCGUUCCCGGCUUUAGGGUCAUCUAGAUACACAAUUUGGGACGCCAUGUUUGCCAAAAUGUACGGGUCGUCAUCAUACCAAGUUCUGUUAAUAUUCACAGACAGUACUCCAUGGUCGAUUUUAACACUUCCCGCCCUAUUUGGGUUGGUAUCGAACCAUCGACACUUAAACAUGAUGACUUGGUAUCGAUCUUUGUAAAGCAAUUGCACGACAGUUGUCAGUUUGCCAUAGAAAUCAAUGUCUGUACUUUCGCCUCCACCUGGGACAUGAACACCGCUAUUUUGCGUACACAACUUGUCAUCUCGUGCGGCCCCUAAAAAUUUGACGCCGUUAACAUUACAACCCGAGAACAAUUCAGCGCGAAUUGGGCCGAACGCCAAGUUAUAUAACUCAUCACUGUAAGUGGGGGAAUUCGAUGAUUUCAAUUUAUUCACCUAAUAGUAUACAAAACCAUUUACAUGUUAGUCUGACAAAAUUAAAUACUAAAAUUUAUAUUUGUCAAUUACAAAACACUUAUAACUUACAGAAUCCAAAAACCAUUGUGGAAAUAAUUCACGGUGUUUCCGGGCAACCAAAUGUGAUGGAUGUUCUCGCUUCAUCAUCUGUUCAUGCUCAUCUAAGUAGGCCAUUAUCUCAUCACAAUUGUUCAGUACGAACCAAUGCGCUACCUCCAUGUCAUUUCUAGAAAACGACUCUCCUCGUCCAGGAUCUCCAAAUGGUCGUGCGCUUUGGGCAAAAACAGAAAGUUUUUCAUUUCUCAUACCUCCGUCAUUAUUGCGGUGAGGACGAUUGAAAACCGUCUCCACAUCUUUUAAAUACAUUCCACAGAAAGUAAGCGACUCAUAUUGAACCCAAGCCUCUAUAAUUGAUCCUUCGGGCUUUGCCCUGUUGCGUACACUUUUUUUCAGCUCUCCGAGAAGCCUGCCAAAAUAAAACGAUAUGAUACAAAUUAGCAAAGUGUCGAUAAUGAUGCAUACACAAAUGAUAAAGAUUAUAUACCUUUCUAUUGGAUACAUCCAGCGAUAGUUGACAGGACCAGCAAGCAAUGCCUCUUCUGGCAAGUGAACCAUCACGUGCAUCAUACUUAUAAAGAAAGCUGGAGGAAAUAUCAUCUCAAACUUGCAUAGGACUUGGACAAUGUCAUGGCGCAACUGAAACAUGUCUGUCCUUCGCAAUGUUUUUGCCGUCAGUUGGGAAAAAAAUCUGGAUAACAACAUGAUUGGCUUCACCACAUCUUCCGGCAGUAAGUGUCGAAUACCCACAGGAAGUAGGCGUUGCAUGAACACAUGGCAGUCAUGGCUCUUAAGUCCAGUAAAUUUACCCCCAUCGACAUUCACGCAACGUGCGAUAUUAGAAGCAUACCCAUCGGGAAAUUUGACAGACGAUACAAACUUUAGAAACUCCUUUUUGUCAUUCGGUUUCAUAGAAAAGAAUGCAAGAUCCCUUCUAGCUUUAUCACUGUCCCUAUUCAUCCAUAAACCCCUUCGUAUGCCCAUUCUUUCCAAAUCAAGACGAGCUUUGAUCGUGUCCUUCGUCUUCCCCUCGAUAUCUAGAAUCGUGCCCACCAAUGUGUCGAAAACAUUUUUCUCAACAUGCAUCACAUCUAGAUUGUGCCUCAAUUUCAGUUUCGACCAAUAUGGGCGCUCAAAAAACAUAGACUUGUGCGUCCAGUUCAAAUGUGUAGAAGGUCGGGUCCGACUAACUGUUUUCCCGAACGGAGCAAAAUCCAAACGGUUCAGCUGUUCCAAGAUCUCAUCACCGGACCAUUCUCUAGGUCUGAGGCGACGCUCUGUGUUCCCGUCGAACUCUUUAUCUUUUUCUCGCCACUCGUGGUCCCAUGGCAACCAUCUCCGAUGACCAAGGUAACAAACUUUUCCCGCGUGCCAACCAGAAGUUACAUCUUCCUUGCAUACAGGACAUGCCAUAUAACCCUUUGUGCUCCACCCAGAAACCAUUGCAUAUGCUGGAAAAUCAUUCACAGUCCACAUAACUGCUGCUCGCAAAGUGAACAUCCUCCCAGUUGAUUUAUCGUACGUGCGAACACCGUUUGUCCAUAAAUCCUUCAGCUCAUCAACCAGAGGCCUUAAGUACACAUCAAUUGACCUGCCAGGAUCCUCAGUUAUCAAAACAGUCAUCAUCAUGUAUUCUUUUUUCAUGCAUUUCCAAGGCGGCAAAUUAUAUGGGAAUGCGAAAAUCGGCCAAGUGCUGUGGUGUUGGUUUAGAACCCCAUACGGAUUGAAUCCGUCAGUGGCAAGUCCCAAUCUAACAUUUCGGGGAUCAGCAGCAAAUUCGGGGAACGUUCGAUCGAACUCUUUCCAUGCCUCCCCAUCUGCAGGAUGCCGCAUCACAUCAUCGUCUACCCGUUUUUCCUUAUGCCAUCUCAUGUCUGUGGCAGUAUGCGUUGACAUAUACAAUCGCUGCAACCUAGGUUUAAGGGGCAGAUAACGCAUGACUUUUUGUGGUAUCUUAGUCGUUCUAUUCUGGGAUGUCAGUUUGAACCUCGACUCAUUGCAUAUAGGGCAUGUAUCCAACGUUUCAUGCUCUUUGUAGAAUAACAUGCAAUUGUUUUUGCAAGCGUGGAUUUUUUCAUAACCCAAUCCAAGACCGUGCAACACCUUCUGUGCAUGUUUAUGGUCUUUCGGCAAACAAUUGUCCGUCGGAAGCAUUCUCUUGAAAACCCCCAAAAAGUAAUCAAAACACAAGUUCGACAUACGAUACUUUAUUUUUCCGUGCAUUAGCUCCACAAUGGCAGUGAGAACGGAAAACCUCUCGCACCCCGGGUAUAACUCUUGGUUGGCAUUUUUUAACAGUUUUUCAUACUGUUCAAACUCCGCACUGUCUAUUGGUGUAGGCACGUCAUCUUCCCCUUCCUGAUUGAUGUUGGUCGAUGCGAAUGGAAAAGCAUCCUGUAUAAUACCCAUGACUUGAUCAUUAGGAUCCACAAUAGGUUCAACAUUGUCCACUCUCGGGGCAUUUGAAGACGAAGCAUGGUCUACUUGUUCGCCGUGAAGGUUCCAAAUGCUAUAUGUUUCAAUCAUUCCAUUCCUUACUAAAUGAAAUCCAACAUUUUCAAUUGUCUCCCACAACGUGUUGUUACACCUCCUACAAGGACAACGGAUUCUAGUUGCACCCGGGUUGUGUCUACGUGCAAACUCAAUAAAAUCCUCGAUUCCAUCCAAGUAUUCGUCUGCGCAUCUAUUCGGGUUCUGUAUCCACCUUCUGCUCAUAAUUCCUGAAACCACAAUCACGACACAACAAUCACAACAACUUCAUACGAAGUUAUAAUGUCACCUUAUGCCUCCGGUAAGGGCCCUAUCCCAUUCGGGAAUGCAUAGUCCUGUCACGUAACCUACGGCUACAUGAGAUUAGAUUUCGACGUGGAUUAAUUUCAGCAGCAUCUCGACACAGUUCUUGAAGUGGGCAUAGGUAUAAAUACCUACGUACCACCCGAAGAACGUACCGAGAUGACACCGAAAUCUCCACAAUCGAAACCUAAUCCUGUAGCCGAAGAUUAUGUGACAACACUAUGCAUUACCAAACUGUCCAAAUAAUGGGACAAUUCAAGAAUUAAUUGGACCGCAGUCAUGCAUUACGCAUCCAUGCACGAAAUUCAACUAAUCUCGAACGGGAAACUACGUGUUACUAAACAUAAAAAUAAAAGUACGAAGUUAAUUUCAAUUAACUUCGUACAUCACAACACAUUGUGCUAUGUCACGCACAAUUUCACAACAUUAUACACAUAUAACUUCACAAAAAAAUUACAAACAUAACAAACAAACUUUUACAAUAACAUACCUUCUCAAUCGUUCUCCACCAAUCACAAAUAUCCCUAACGAUAACAAAAUUAAUAGCGUUACUACGAAUUUACAUUAAUACAUUUAAACUAACGACAAAAAAUACAUACCCAAUGAACGUACUGAAUUCACAGUAGAGCAACGGCAGAGAGAGUGAGAGAGAGGUAGAAUGCAGUGGGAGAGUGAGAGAGAGGCAGAAUGCAGAAACUGCAUUCUGCCUCUGCAAUGGAACUGGCUAAAAUGAAGAAGAAGGACUUUGCGCGACUAACAAUCCAAUCCGUCGCGCAAAAUGCCGUCGCGAAAACCCACUUUUCCGUCGCACAAAAAAACAUUUCCGUCGCGCAAUUACCUGCCGACAUCAGGUUUUUUGCGCGACGAAUACAAUUAUCCGUCGCACAAACAUCCGUCGCGCAAAUAACAUUAUUCGUCGCGCAAGGUUUAUAUUACGUCGCGCAAAUAACACUUAUUUCGUCGCGCAAGAAAUUACACUUUACGCGACGAAGGUAAUUCCGUCGCGCAAAAAAGUUUUUUCCACCCUGCAUUUUGCCGCCAAAAUUAAGUAACCCUCGUUUUCUUACGCGACGGUACAUAUUUCCGUCGCGCUAAGGCGUCUUUUGCGACGAAAAUGUUCGUCGCGCAAGAUUCUGGCGCCAAAAACAUAAACUGGGGAUUUUUCCCCGACCUUUGCUCGACGAAAUUAGUUUUGGUCGCGCAUAGAUUGUUUGCGCAACGAAGAUUGUUCGUCGCGCUAGUGUUCUGCUGUUUGCGCUACGGUAUUUUUUUUUCGUCGCAAUAGUGAUUUUUGCGCGACGAAAAUAUAUUCGUCGCGCAAACGUCCGUCGCGCAAAUAGUAAAUCGUAGUAGUGUGAUUUGGUUUAGACUUGGUUUAAUUAUCAUUGUUGUGGUUGGUUCACCAAAAAGAUUUGGCUUAGAAUUACCAGUUUUGUUGUUGGUUUAGUUAUGCUUGGCAUUUGAGGAUCCUAUGCUUACUUGUAUGGGUAAUACAUUUUAUUGAUCGUUUCAUAUACUAAUUAUGAACUUUUAGUUCCAUUGUGCAUUUAAGAGUACACAUAUUUCAUAUGUAAUUCGAAAGUUUGUCGCUGAAAUUUCUGAGAAUUUGAAACUAGAUAAGCACACCUUGCACAAAGUUCAUAUAUUUUCUUCCAGCAAGUCUGUCUAUUAACCCCCCUUAUCUGAAAUUAAUUGUUAAAAGUUCUGAUUCAUCUUUAAUCAUUGUCUUACCCUUGUUGAAUAACACUCCUCAUUCUAAUUUAUAUUCGAAGUUUGAGGUUUCAAUUUCAAUUGUGGGCUUUGAUUUUACAGAUUUUGUUUGUCAAUUUCAAUUUGGACAAAGCAUAUGCAAACAAAGUAAGGCAUUAUCUAUUAUUUGGAUCAUUUCCAUAUGUUUAUAUGUUUUUAAUAUCAUUUGCCUAUGUAGUUGACAUGUUAUAACAUUUUCGUAGUGUUGAAUAUAUAUAUAUAAUAAUUUUAUUUUAGUGGAUGUGAGAUCUCAGUUUGUUGCUUUAUAUAAUUAUUUCUUUGCAAUUUAAUUUUUUUUAUCAGUCAUACUAUUGUUGACGGCUAAAAACCAUCAAGAAACAACUCUUAAGUUUUUUAAAAAAUAAAUAAAUAAAUAAAGAUUUGUUGAUGCUUAAAAAGCAUCAAGAAAAGAUAGUUUCUUGACGGUUUUGUGACGUUUCAUAACCGUCAUGAAACAUUACAUUUUGACGAACGUCUUUCUGAUAGUGGCAUCCGUGACGCUUUCCGAGCCAUCAAUUAAGGGCUAUCGUGAUGCUUUUUAGUUGUCAGCAAAAGGUGUUUUUCUUGUACUGUAUUCACUCAAAAUCGUUUUUCAUUUAGGGUUGCUAGUGUGGUUGAAUGCCAUUUGUUUUGUUAAUGAAUAUUAUACAUUAUGGAUUUUUGUAGAAAUGUCGCUUGAAAUUAUACCUCAGUUUCAAUUUGUCACCUUAAAGAAAAAUUUAAGAGAAAUGUCACCUUAAUUUUUCAAAAUCCACGAUUUGUCAUCUCACUUUAACAUCAUCCAAUUUUCCAUCUAUUUUAAGGGUAUUUUAGUCUUUUCAUUUUCAAGGGAAAAAAAGAGAGGAAGAAAAAGACCUCUCUCUUACUUUCUCCCCCAACCCAACCCCACCCGCCCCCCAAAACACAUCGCAUAGGACCGCCUCCCCCUUCCCCACAUUUCUUUUUUCUUUUUGGCCUACUUUUCCACUAUGUUUAUGUUGAAGGAUCUAAAGUUUUCUUGGUCACCAUCUAUUACGUAGGCUACCGACUUGUUGGUUUGGGUGGGUUGAGGGAAUUUGUGUGUGGAGGGCAGGUGUUCAUGUUGUGUGCACCAAGACCUUAUCGUUGAUGAACUAUGUGACGGCACACACACAAACUCGUUGAGAAUAAAACAAACAUACCACCAAGAGAGUAAAACAAACACACAAGGACACAAAGAUUUAUAGAGGUUCGGCCUCCUGCCUACGUCUUUUUGGUGAUUCACUCGAGAAAUUCACUAGUAUGUAAAAAUAACUUUGGUUACAACUGAACCCCCUUAGCCCUCACAAGAACCUUAGAUCUCUUUUCUCUCACCCUUGCUCAAACCCUUUGAUGCCCUUGUAGACACUCAAGAAUUCACCCUUGAAUUCUAUCUUGUGUUACAUCUUCUCUUCUCCCUUUUGUUAACCUAACCCUAAAAGUCCUAUUUAUAAUGCAUAGGACUUAAGUUACAAGUUAACUUGGAAUAGGAAACAUAAAAUACCCCAAAAAUUGGAGAAAAUCUGUCCAAAUCUAGCCUGCAAAAUCAUCCUUCUGCCGCUCGAGCUGCCGGUGGCGCUCAUGGGAUGGGGGAAUUGGAGAUUUUCUUUUCAAUUUUAAUUGUUUAAAAGAUAUACAAUUUUUUAUUAUAAUAAUUUUUCCAUUUUUAAAAUACACUUGAAAAUAGAAAGCUUAAAAUGCCCUUAAAAAUAGAUGGAAAAUUGGAUGGUGUUAAAGUCAGAUGACAAAUCAUGGAUUUUGAAAAAUUAAGGUGACAUUUCUCUGAAAUUUUUCUUUUAAAAGUGACAAAUUGAAACUGAGGUAUAAGUUCAGGCGACAUUUCUACAAAAAUCCCUAUACAUUACAAUAUUAUAACAAUAAAAUUGGCUAAAAUUGAUAUGUUCCCUCUUUUCUUUUCUUUUUCUCUUUUCCUUUUCAUUUUAUGCUUUGUUGCUAUUGCUAUGUUUAUCCUACAAAUAUAGCAACUUCUCCACCAUUCAUUUGUUAGUGACUACGAUGCUUAGUAACUUCUUCAGCUCCCCUUAUUUCCAUGUACUAACCAGGGACACCAGGUCAGCAUCUUCGGUAAGAAUCCUAACUCAAUCAAACAAUGACAUCUGUAAAUAUUCAAAAUUGGAAUUUGCAUUGUGAUAGUUGAAAGCAUCCUUGUCCCAAAAAAAGCCAAAAAAUAAAAUAAAAUUGAGAGCAUUAAGUCCUUUUCAAAUUAUGCUAAUAUGCAAAAUUGGAAUUUUGAUGGAGUUGCUUCCUUGACUUUUCCACCUUUGUAUCCAGUCCACUUUGCACAAGGAGCCAAGUUUGAGAGAUAGUUUUCUGUAUUUACACCAUCCAGGAGAAAAUUAAAAAACUAUUUCAUGCCAAACUAACUACGGAUUCUUGCAAAGGACCCAUUAGUGUAGUGGUUUGGAGUAUUUACUCCCUCAGGCAAGGUCUUGGGUUCGAGUCCUAGCAUUCAUGUUGUGUGUGUGAGUUUAAUAUGCUAUCACCCCUUCCAAUAGGAAAGGACCUCAAAAAAAAAAAAAAAACUACAGAUUCUUUAAUUGAAAGAAACCCCAUAUUAAUCAUCCUUUGGCACAUAAAUGUUUGGUAAUUGGCAUUAAAGUAUCUAAAGGUUACGAAAUUAAAGAUUUUAAUGCAAACCUAAAAUUGGAAAAGAGGGCACCAAUUCAUGUAAAAUAUGGUGUACUUAGUAGAUCCAACAUAUUUUUUUAGCAACCAAGGACAAUCAUCAUUUUUUUUUUUAAGAACCAAGGAUAGCUUACAUUCUAGUUUGUCCAUCAUGUCAACACAUUUAUAAUUAAAACUUCUUUUUUGGUGAGGUUUCAAUUUUUGUCACUGUAACAAGACCACAAUUGCCAUUCAGUAUGCUAACAUUGUCACUAUGUUUGCCAAUUGCAUAUUAUCUAGAACAUAAAGGCUUUGGUGUUUUGUAUAUCCUCGGGGUGCCAAACCUGUCUUUAUAAAAAUGGUCCUUAUGAUACUACUUUAACAACAAAAAAAUAUAAUAAACUAGGCCUUUGUAGUCACUGAACGAAUGUUUUCUCAUAGAUAUGACUAUUUAAAUGUAAUUACGGGAUUAAAACAUUAUAAUAAAUUGGAGUGAACCAUAACAUUAUAUAUGAUCCAAUCCUUUUCAUAUAUUUUUGUUCAAGACUUUGUUUUAGAAUGCUCUUUUACUAAUUUGGUACAGGUCCCUAAAAUCUACGCCUUUAUGAGGCAACGUCUUUAUUUCUUUGGUUAUUCCAGUUUAGAAUAUAUUUGUACAAAUGAGAUGACUCCCAACAUAAAGUCACAUUCAACCAAAAAGCAUGAAGUCACACACAAAAAGAACACGGACAAUUGCUAAGUUUAUCUUGUAUCCUUAUUUUAUUGAUCCAACCCAAUUGAAAAAUAAAAAAGAUGAUAUAAUAUAUUGUUCACUGCUUACAUCCAUGAGUAAAGUCCUCCAUUUGAAAUUGCGUGAUUAUACAAAAUUGGAAUGAAAAAAGAAAAUCCUACAACUAAAUUUGAUAUAUUCCUUUUCAUUUUAUGUUGGAUGUUAAGUUUUCUUGUUUCUUGUUGAAAAGAAAAAUGAAAAGAAAUAAAUAAAUUACACAGCUAGCAACUUCUCCACCUUCCCUUCUUCCCAUGUACUGACAACAAGGGAGGCCUUCAAUCCAAAAUAAAGACAAGGGAUGCCAGGUCAGCAUCUCAGAUAAGUAUCCCAACCAAAACCAAUCAAAUAAUGACAUAUGUAUCUCUUUUUGUGUUUUGUUCUAUUUCUCUUUGAAUUAACUGCGAAGUUUCAUAAGCGUGUCCUCCUUUUGAAAUUGUGUAUUAUUCAAAAUUGGAAUUUGCUGGUCAUACUUGAUAUAAGCUAAAACAGUUUCCAACAUCUUGUACCAUUUUUUUCCAGUGUGGGUCAUAACUUGAAGAAGCCCACCGACAAUUUCUCAAAAGCUAUUACCAUCCAACUUUGAAAAAUAAAAGUUUCAAAAGUUACCCCAAACAACAGCCCUUGAAAGAGAGUUUUCCAAGGCUAAAGAUUACAAGGAUGUUAUUGGCACAUGCAUUAACGUGUGACAAGAAGUUAGUUAUAUUUAUAAAGUAAAAGAACGAAGUACAUAACAUGUAAGUUGAUGCCAAAUAUUUGAUCAACAGAGCUAAACAUAAAACCACGACAAUAUAACGUUGUUCACCAAAAAUUGUGUUUCGUUGAGGGUCAGUAGUGUAGGUUUCAAGAUACGAUUUAUUUUGUUAAAGAAUAUUCUGAUAUUCUAACAAUAAAAUUGGCUCAAUUUGAUAUGUUUCUUUUUUUUUUUGUUUUUGUUUUCCCUUUCAUUUUAUGCUUUGUUGUGCUAUUGCUAAGUUUAUCCUAGAGACCAGGGAUGCUUAGCAAGUUUCUUCACCUGCCCUUCUUCCCAUGUACUAACUAGGGAUACCAUGUCAGAAUCUUAGAUAAGAAUCCCAACCCAAUCAAACUAUGACAUCUGUAAGUAUUCAAAAUUGGAAUUUGCAUUGUGAUAGUUGAGUGGAAGAAUCGAUUAAGGCUUGAGUGGAAGACAAACUUCAGUGGAGGAAAGUAAUUAAUCUCACAAGACAUAGCCCAUCAGUUGGCUCAUUUUUCUUGAGUGUGUAGUCCUGGCCUUGAGGCGAGGCCACAUUGCUUUGGAGAUUUCUUUCUACUUGGUGAAAUUAUAAUUUAGAAGAAGCAAACUGCGUUUUGCAAUUUGUGCGAUUCAAGCAUAUCUGACACUAGUAAUUAGACCAUAAUCUUUGUCCGACCAGAAAAUAAGAAAAGUUGUCUUGUACCAUUUCUGCCAGUGUGGGUCCCACCCACCCCAUACGAGUAAUUUGAAGAAGUCCACCGACAAUUUCCCAAAAGCUUUGGCGUCCAACUUUGCCGACCCCAUCCCCAUGUGAGGCCAUAGAAAAGUUUUCAGCCACAAUCAAAGAAGGGAACAGUCCUUGAAAAGAGAGGGUUUUCCAAGGCCAAGAUUACAAGUUCAUGUUAUUUACAGUCUCAAAAAGCUUCCAUACUUGUUUACAAACCUGUAUUUUCAAGUUGUGCUAGCCUAGCUAUUUGCAAAUCUUGGAAUAUUUUACUUCAUCCAAAUCCCUUGCAGUCUGCAGAGAAGAUAAAAGACAUGGCUUUGAUUGGAGAGGCUCUUAUCUCUGCUUCCGUCCAGGUGUUGUGCGACAGAAUUACUUCACCCGAGUUCGUUGACUUAUUUUGGCACAAGAAACUCGAUGAGCCACUCCUCAGGAAGCUGAGGACGACACUGUUGGCCUUGAACUUGGUGCUCAAUGAUGCAGAGGGGAAGCAACUUGUGAACCGAGAUGUGAAAAAGUGGCUUGACGAGCUCAGACAUGCUGUCUUUGAUGCGGAGGACUUACUGGAUGAGAUUGACACUGAAGCUUUGCGAUGCAAGCUGGAAGAAGGUGAAGAUCAAACUCACAAAUUUACCAAUAAGGUGCGGAACUUGCUCUUUUCUCCUCGUAGUCAUUUUUAUCAGAGCAUGAAUGAUAAGAUAAAAGAGUUACUAGCAAGGUUAGAAAACUUUGUACAACUGAAAAGUGCUCUUGGUCUGGGAGAAGUUGCUGGGAGGAAGGUUUCGCAAAGAACUCAAACAACCUCCUUGGUUCUUGAACCUUAUGUAUAUGGUAGAGAUGAAGUCAAAGAAAAGUUAUCAAAAGUGUUGCUAUCUGAUGAAGCAGGCAAGGAUCCUGUGUCUUUCCUCACCAUUGUUGGAAUGGGUGGGGUUGGCAAGACAACCCUUGCUCGAAUGCUUUACAAUGACGAUAAGGUGAAAGGGCAUUUUAAACUUAAAGCUUGGGCUUGUGUUUCAGACUACGAUGAUUAUAUUAAAAUUACUAAAACUCUCCUUGAGGCAGUCACUUCAAAGCCUUGUAACACGGCAAAUCUGAAUUUGCUUCAAAAAGAUCUAAGAGAGCAAUUGAGGGGAAGGAAAUUUUUAUUUGUGUUGACCUAUGGAAUGAGAAUAAUGAGGAUUUGAACUACCUUAGAGCUCUUUUUAUUACUUUAGGAACAAUGGGAAGUAAAGUCAUUGUAACAACACGGAACAAAAAUGCAGCAUCUGUCAUGCAAAAUGUUCAUAUUCAAUACUUAGAACCAUUGUCGUAGGAGGACUGCUGGUUAUUACUUGCAAAACAUGCAUUUGGAAAUGAAAAGUGUAGUGCACAUUCAAACUUGGAAGACAUUGGAAAGCAAAUUGCACUCAAGUGCAAAGGGUUGCCUUUAGCUGCACAAACACUUGGGAGUUUGUUACGUUGCAAUAUGGAUUUCGAGUACUGGAAUAGAAUACUAAAUGAUAGUUUUUGGGACCAACCCUAUGAUAAAACUAACAUUCUUCCGGCUCUAGGGUUGAGUUACCAUUAUCUUCCUACUCAGUUGAAACGAUGCUUUGCUUAUUGUUCAAUUUUUCCAAAGGAUUAUGAGUUUGAAAAGGAAGAUAUAGUUCAAUUAUGGAUUGCAGAAGGUAUAAUUCCACAAGCUGAGAAUGGAAAAAGGAUGGAAGCAUUGGCUAGAAUAUACUUUGAUGAGCUGUUAUCACGAUCGUUGUUUCAAAAGUCAAGUAAAUUCAGCUUCAUUAUGCAUGAUCUCAUUAAUGACUUGGCUAUGUUCAUGUCUCAGGGGUUUUGCCUUAGGCUCGAAGAUGGGGUAUCCCGUGAAGUUAAAAGAGCUCGUCAUUUGUCAUAUGCUAGGGGAGAAUUUGAUGCUGCUCCAAGAUUUGAACCAUUAUAUGAGGCUAAAUGUUUGCGGACCUUCCUACCUACCAUUUGUUGUGGGCAAAUCUACUGGAUCAGGCAUAAGAGAACUGAGGCAGUUCCCGCAACUUCGAGGAAAACUAUCAAUUUUGAAGCUACAAAAUGUAGUUGAUGCGAGGGAUGCACUGCACGCCAAUAUGAAGCACAAGAAAGAUCUCAAGGAGUUAGAGCUUUCAUGGGGUGCGGAGGAUGCUGAUGAUUCCCAAAAGGAGAAAGAUGUACUCGACAAGCUCCAGCCUUGCGUGAAUUUGGAGAAAUUAACCAUCAAAUUCUAUGGUGGAACUAAUUUUCCGAAUUGGUUAGGAGACUCGUCUUUUUCUAACAUACAAGUCAUGCAUCUCAGUGACUGUAGUUAUUGUUGGUCGCUCCCACCAGUUGGACCGCUACCGGCACUCAAACAGCUCUGUAUAAGAAGAAUGAAGUUUGUGAAGACGAUUGGCGUUGAAUUCUAUGGCAGAAAUGGAGCUUAUCUGACUCAGCCAUUUCGAUCUCUGGAGAAGCUAGAGUUUAGGGAGAUGCCAGAGUGGGAGGAAUGGGUACCAAGUGGAAGUGCAAGUGGAGGUGAAUAUGGUCCAGACUUUCCUCGUCUCCAGGAGCUGAUUCUAUACGAGUGUCCGAAGCUAAGAGGAAGUUUGCCUUGUGAGUUGCCUUGCUUGAAGAAGCUUACGGUGUAUGGGUGUAAGGUUUUACAUGAUGGAAGGGCCAUUACCGCAACUACCAAUAGUCUUAACUAUAAAUCUCUGGAAGAAUUGAAUAUAAGUGGUGGAUGCCAAACUCUGUUAUCAUUAUUAGAGACAAAGCUCCUGUCCGGACUUGAGAUUCGAAAUGUUGUUGACAUACAGUGCUUGCCCAACUGCAGUCGUCUUCAACAUUUGACUCUUUCGAAUUGUCCAACGCUGUCAUCAUUUCCCAAAGAUGGCCUACCCACUACAUUGACAUCACUUUAUAUAAACAAUUGUAGGAAAUUAGAAUUCCUACCUCAUGAGAUGUUGGCCAAAUUAACAUCGCUUGACUAUUUGUGCAUACAAAAUAGCUGUGAUUCAAUGAGGUCCUUCCCGUUGGGCAUUUUUCCCAAAUUGACGAGGCUUGAAAUUCGUGGUUGUGAGAAUCUGGAAUCCCUUUCCUUGAUUGAAGAAGAAGGAGCUGUUGAGAAUCUCA
rnacentral:lncRNA from 1 species